GACGAACGCUGGCGGCGUGCCUAAUACAUGCAAGUCGAACGCAGUGGGGACGGGUGAGUAACACGUGGGUAACCUCCCAUCAGAGGGGAUAACACUUGGAAACAGGUGCUAAACCGAUAUUGAUGGAUGGACCCGCGGUGCAUUAGCCAGUUGGUGAGGUAACGGCUCACCAAGGCCACGAUCCCUAGCGGGUCUGGGAGGUGGACCGUCCACACGGGAACUGGGACACGGUCCAGACUCCUACGGGAGGCAGCAGUGGGGAAUAUUGGACAAUGGGCGCAAGCCUGAGGCAGCCAUGCCGCGUGUAUGAAGAAGGCCUUCGGGUGGUAAAGUACUUUCAGCGGGGAGGCGUUACCCGCAGAGAAAGCACCGGCUAACUACGUGCCAGCAGCCGCGGUAAUAC
rnacentral:rRNA from 1 species